rnacentral:misc_RNA from 1 species
AGGAAUGUCCCACAAUCUUAAGUUUGUAUUCAGGAUAAAUACUAAGAGCUUUAAGAAGACAAGGUGUUGCAAGUCUUGCAAUCCAUCGAGCAGCUGCCACCAUUCCACAAUGUGCAUAGCCUAACACCAAAUUGCUAACUCCUCCCUCAUGUACCACAGUGUGAUGGAAAGGCACAACUGCGCCAGUAGCAGCUGUCAAAG